rnacentral:rRNA from 1 species
UGGCGGCGUGCCUAACACAUGCAAGUCGAGCGAGGAGAUUCCUUCGGGAUGAUCCUAGCGGCGGACGGGUGAGUAACACGUGGGCAACCUGCCUCAUAGAGAGGAAUAGCCUUCCGAAAGGGAGAUUAAUACCUCAUAACAUUGCAGUUUCGCAUGGAACAGCAAUUAAAGGAGCAAUCCACUAUGAGAUGGGCCCGCGGCGCAUUAGCUAGUUGGUGAGGUAACGGCUCACCAAGGCGACGAUGCGUAGCCGACCUGAGAGGGUGAUCGGCCACAUUGGGACUGAGACACGGCCCAGACUCCUACGGGAGGCAGCAGUGGGGAAUAUUGGCACAAUGGGGGAAACCCUGAUGCAAGCAACGCCGCGUGAGUGAUGACGGCCUUCGGGUUGUAAAGCUCUGUCUUCAGGGACGAUAAUGACGGUACCUGAGGAGGAAGCCACGGCUAACUACGUGCCAGCAGCCGC